rnacentral:rRNA from 1 species
CCUACGGGCGGCAGCAGUGGGGAAUAUUGGACAAUGGGGGCAACCCUGAUCCAGCCAUGCCGCGUGUGUGAAGAUGGCCCUCGGGUUGUAAAGCACUUUCAGUGAGGAAGAACGCCUGGUGGUUAAUACCCAUCAGGAAAGACAUCACUCACAGAAGAAGCACCGGCUAACUCCGUGCCAGCAGCCGCGGUAAUACGGAGGGUGCGAGCGUUAAUCGGAAUUACUGGGCGUAAAGCGCGCGUAGGUGGCUUGAUAAGCCGGUUGUGAAAGCCCCGGGCUCAACCUGGGAACGGCAUCCGGAACUGUCAAGCUAGAGUGCAGGAGAGGAAGGUAGAAUUCCCGGUGUAGCGGUGAAAUGCGUAGAGAUCGGGAGGAAUACCAGUGGCGAAGGCGGCCUUCUGGACUGACACUGACACUGAGGUGCGAAAGCGUGGGUAGCAAACAGGAUUAGAUACCCUAGUAGUC